rnacentral:lncRNA from 1 species
UUUACUCUGAAGUACGUUAGUGUAACCGAUGCUUUCUUUUGGUCAAUACCAUAUUCUUUUGUCCUUUUCUGAAGAUGUCGGAUUUUUGACAACGAGUCGAUCUCAUUUCUCCCUGGAAAUGUCGAUGUUGCUCAAAAAGUCGAUCUCAUCUUUUUCUGAGGAUGUCGAUGUGUCUGCCGAUCCUUUUCUGAAGAUAUCGGAUUUUUGACAACAAGUCGAUUUCAUUUCUCCCUGGAAAUGUCGAUGUUACUCAAAAAGUCGAU